rnacentral:lncRNA from 1 species
UCGUGGAAUCAAAUGCUAUGUUGAUGAUAUGAUAGCAAAGUCCCAAACAGAAGAAGGGCAUCUGGUGGAUCCGGGGCAAGUUGUGUGACCAGUUGAGACAACUCAGACUGAGGUUGAGUCCGAACCAGUGCACUUGUGGAGUGCUGACCGGUAAACUGCUGAGGUUUAUUGUGAACAAAAGAGGAAUCGAGGUCGAUCCU